UACAUAUUAUUUAAUAUUUGAAUUUAUUUUUCACAUUUGAAAAUUCAUUGAAAUUUGUUAAUACUUUGGAGACUUUAAGUAGUCUUAGUAAUUAGAUAAAUUAGAUUAAAGUCUACGCCAAUGGAGUAUUAAAUUAUCAUCCAGAAUCCAAAGCUCUUGCACACCUACAUUUCCACUGUUGUUUUAAAAAAGUAAACAUUUUACGUAGUACUACGAUACAAAUAAAAAUAAUGAGCCCGAUCGGUUUUGAUUCACCACUUAUUUUCGUUCAAAUUCCAAUUUAAACAAUCUAGUAAACAAAUCCCAAACCCACCGUUUAUUUGGAACUUAUCAUCCAGGAACACAAACAACUCACUCACUAUUUGUUUUCCAUUUUCGUAUCGGAUUACUUGUUUUUGUGUGGCCAUUCAUUGAGGCCUAAAUUGCCUCCUUUUCAAGUUGAACGUAAAAAUUAUGAUGAGUACUCCAGACUAUUCGAUUCAAUCAACGGGGAAUCGAAGGAAAGUUUCCAGACGUGUGAAUCAGACGCCAAAAUUAACCACGAACAAUCCAGAACAAAGUCCCUUACCUACCUCAAAACGUGACGUUCCAACGUUGAUCAUUUUAGGUAGGCUGUUAAUUUGGCAAAGUAUUUAGUGAGUGAGAAAUGAAUCGAGAAUUGUUCUCAAGGAUUCGAUUUCUAUGAUUCCAGCUAAAGUGUCUGCCCACGUCGUUUAUUUUUAGGUGCAUGUAGAAAUGUUUGUUAUUACAAAUCCACAUUUAUUAUUGACUCACACUAUUAUUUUUUUUGUGGCUUGAUUGAUUUUAGUAUUUUUAGGCACACUCUCGUUUCUACUCUGUGUGUCAAGACCAAUAAACAUUUGUUCAUUAAUAUUUUCACAGUUAUAAUGAGAUUAAUUAAAAGUUGCACACUUUAAUUCAUCAGCAAUUUUGUUUCCUUAGCAGUGACUCAUGAUGCUUAAACAGCAUUUAAUUUCAUUUUGUUGCUGAGUAAUUUCGUUGUUUUUGGUUUAUCAUGCAAAAAUACUUCCAUUAGGUUAUCUGGCUUGCAGACAAUCUAAAUUGGUGUCAGUCUCAAAAGGUUUGAAGACUGAAUCACUGUUUUAGUUAGAACCUGGAUGAUACACAGUUAUGAAAUUAGAUUAAUUGAGUAAAUUAAUGCUUUAUGAAAGCACCAGAUGACAUCAAAGGACUCAUAGAUGUACUGUGGUGGCACUGAAAGUGAGAAGAAAGAAAUAUUGCUCUCAAGAGAAGAGGGAAGUAAUAAUUAAUAUGAAACAUGGUCUAAAUAUUACUGACGUGACUAAAAACUUAAAAUAAUACUUUACAAGGAUAUAUUUCAGUAAAGAAGCCAUUGGUAUCAAAAAAAGUCUGAAAGUUUACACAAAAUUGAAUUAAAUAUUCUCCAAAAUUUCGGCCAUAGGUACUACUUUGAAGUAAUGAAUUCAAUAGAACAAGAUCAACAAGUAAUUAAUCAACCUCCUAAUAAAAGUUUCAGUCCCAGAUACACUACCAAAACUUUGAGACAUGGUUGAAGAAAAGUUUUGGUUUGAGGGCUCUUUUCUUGGCAUUAUAUAGGACCAAUAAAACAAGUUAUUAGUGAAAUGGACUGUUUGGAAUGUACACACAUUAUAAGAGAUGUAAUAGAACCAUUUGCCAACGUUAAUUUACUAAUUACAUGGAUUUUUAUGCCUGAUAAUGAUACCAAGCAUCAAAACUUAUCCAAAGUUUGUUAGAAGAUAAAAAUGAAGAGAAUCUCGAUUGGCCAGCAUAAAGUCCAGAUCUAAAAACAAUUGAAAACUUGAGAAAGGAUAUGUAGUCCUGAUUAAGACACCAAAAACAUCAAAUUUGGAUGAACUGUAGUUAUUAACUGAAGAGUCUUCUGUGAUAAAUAUAUUUAUUAAACUUGA